rnacentral:lncRNA from 1 species
AACACUUGUCUAUGGCUAGGAAACCUUGACCAUCUUUGAUCAACGAUCUACUGAACUAGAGGAUCACUAGGGACAGUGUGUUGUCUAUGUAUCCACACAUGUAUUUGAGUUUCCAAUCAAUACAAUUCUAGCAUGGAUAAUAAAUGACUAUCAUGAACAAUGAAAUAUAAGAAUAACCAAUUUCUUAUCGCCUCUAGGGCAUAUUUCCAACAUCUUGCCCUUGCCGUUUUUCUUGAAACUGGUGGUCUUAUUGACCAUCAACACUUGAUGUUCUUUAUGGAUUUCUGA